CCCUUAGAUGUUCUGGGCCGCACGCGCGCUACACUGACGGAGCCAACGAGUCUUUUCCUUGUCCGGAAGGACUGGGUAAUCUUGUGAAACUUCGUCGUGCUGGGGAUAGAGCAUUGCAAUUAUUGCUCUUCAACGAGGAAUUCCUAGUAAGCGUGAGUCAUCAGACUGCAUCGAUUACGUCCCUGCCCUUUGUACACACCGCCCGUCGCUCCUACCGAUUGAAUGCUCAGGUGAGCCAUUCGGACUUUCAUCAUGCUGGUUUCCAGUUUUGAUGAAGGAAAGUCUUGCGAACCUUAUCAUUUAGAGGAAGGAGAAGUCGUAACA
rnacentral:rRNA from 1 species